CCUACGGGAGGCAGCAGUGGGGAAUUUUGGACAAUGGGGGCAACCCUGAUCCAGCCAUCCCGCGUGUGCGAUGAAGGCCUUCGGGUUGUAAAGCACUUUUGGCAGGGAAGAAACAGCCUGGGAUAAUACCUUGGGCGAAUGACGGUACCUGCAGAAUAAGCACCGGCUAAUACGUGC
rnacentral:rRNA from 1 species